rnacentral:siRNA from 1 species
UGCUUUCCGACUAAUGCCAGAGAG